CUUUGUAUAAGAACAGCUUGAGAAAUCAGACUGGCAACAGAGAAGCAAAAGCACACCAGAUGUACAUGUUUGCUCUUCUGCUCCUCUUCCUACAUAUUAGGGAUGAUAGCCAGCCUGUGCCCUGAAAAAAUCUCUUUAUCCUAGUGAUGUAUGUACCUAAACAACACUCAGUACUCUAAUGAGCUCUGGAUUCCUGAAUCAAGGAGUGGAACUAACCAGUAGCUAAAUAACCCCUUUGUUUGGAGGUGUCCAAACAUAUACUGACAAGGAUCGGAAUUUUCUGGAAUUAAUAAUGGUGCCUUGAGUUUGGUGUGCAAUAGGUCAGGUAAUACAUCUAGAAAGCAGGUUUCAAUGACAUUUCAGUGAGUGCACAUUAGAGGAAUAUGGCACAUUUUGAAGUUGAUGAGGCAGAAAGGUACUGAAGAGUAGUAAGGUACCACUUAGAUGUAAGAGCUCCCUUACAAAAUGAAAUUACAUGUAUGAUGACUUCAAAGAGACUUAGAAUUAAGCCAAAAGUGGAACUAGUGUAAGUGGACCAGCUGAUUAGAGCUAAGGGCUAACUGGCAUUUGCAAAACAACCAGAGCAGUUAACUCUUGGUUGUGUGGCUCUGAGGCUGCUAGAUUUCCUUACAAAUGGCUGUGUGAGCCCAUUCCAACAACAGUGCUGGAUAUAGAAAGAGAGAGGACAUGAGGAUAUGCUCAUUUUUCAUGCAGAAUGAGCUGCAGGGAGACUAUGGCUUGACUUGUAAAACAGAGCUUCUGGCACAGAGAAGCAGUGCAUGGAUGUUGAGGCUCUGGAUCAGAGAAAGUAAGCUGUCAAAUUAUAUUUAGCGACUACAUGCUGCAGGAAAGCGCAGAGAGGGAAGGAGCGAACUAUUGCGUAGCUGGGCCCCAUGAGUAGUGAGCACACAGAGCAGGGAAUGAGGCUGUUAAGAGAGGAUGAAUUGCCUCGGUGUUCCUGAUUCAAAUAAAUCUCUGUGUGAGGCCAGAGAUCUGCACAGACUUGUAUGACUACUUUGAUCAGCAGAACCCUGCUUUAUUUAUCCCCAGACUCCAUCAGGUAAAGAGUGACCAACUUGUGGCCUUCCAGCCAUUCCCUCUGCCCUCACCCUAGGGAUGUUUCCCACAGCAAUGCCAUUCCCAGCUGGGGAAGCAGUAUGAUGGGGGCUCUUGGAACCAAUAUCUCAAACUGCUGUACAGCCCAGCUGCACACCCGGCUCAGUCCCAACCCAUCAGAAGCUUGUUAGCUAAGGCUGGCAUCUGCAAAAUAGGUUACCCUGCUCCAUUUGAAUUCAGGGGUGUGAGUGCUCCAUUGUGUUCCCUGGAAAGCCCAGUUCUAAAGAGAUGAAGGUGGAAAAAAAGUCCUUAUACCUGUAUGAGAGAUCAAACCUUGUGUGCUGACAUGUGACAGUUGAUCAUUUGGGUCCUGUCUUAUACUCCAGGGUGCAGAGAUUGUGACCGACUAGUUUAUAGUAGAAUGGGUACAUCUUAGGCUCUAAUUCUUUCCUGCUAAAAGCUCACUUGUAUGAUUCAGAAAUGUCUUUGCCUUUGCAAUAAAUAAGGCCUUUAAGCUCCUUCUCAGAGGAGACAGUGCGGGGAGGCCUGGCUGCCUUCUCUGCAUAAAUAUUUCUGUCAAACUGGAUUCAGGCUGAGGUGGGUGAAACUGCUGCACCAACAGGGAGCCAUCGACUUCCAUCUCCUGUUAGGCAGUACUGCAUCAUUGAGAUUUGUGUUGUUACUGUACUGUCAAAAAUAGCUGUGAGUGAGAGAAAUGCUCCCAUGUGUUCACCAAGCAGGAGGACAGAGCAGUUAGAAGGAGGGAGAUGCAGACUGUGAUAGUGAACAGAAGAUGUGCAAGGAGGAACUGCCUUCACAGUCUCAUGAAAGGGUGACUGUGAUGCGUGAUGGAAGGAGGAAGGAUGACUUCACAGAUGUAAUUUAUUAUACUUCCUAUGCAAGGGAGUUAUGCUAGUUCCAGAAAAAACUCACAUUGGUUUGGUGGCUCCUAAGAAUAUGCAAGGGAGAAACGAAGACCUCAGAGAACGGUUCUACCUGUUGCAGCUGCUGCAGAUCAAACUCGCAAAUGUGAAAAAAGCAUCAGUAGGUGCUUUGGAUCAUGAGACUGGCAAAGGCUGGCCAUCCAGGCAGAGGCAGAUGCAGAUACUGUGAAGUGAGCAUGACUGGGUCUUUGUUGAGGCAGUGAAGAUACAUACAGAAAAUAGUUACAGAAAAUAGUUACAGACUAUUUUCUUCACUCACCCAGUUUUCCUUCCCUCUCUCCACUAAAUGUUACCUUUCAGCUAAAGGGCCUAUAUAUAUGGUCAGUACACAUGACCAGAACUUUGGUGUCAGAGUCCUUUGUCCUUUAUACAGCAGCAAAUCUGCUCAGCUCCAUGUGAUGGAACAGCACAGGGAUUUUUUCUUUUGUUUCUACUGUUUACAAAAUGUGGGGGAAAAAAAAGUUAAAGGAAAAAUGGUUAUAAAACUAGAGCAGAGUUAUAUA